GUACACUCCUGCGGGAGGCAGCAGUGGGGAAUAUUGGACAAUGGGCGCAAGCCUGAUCCAGCCAUGCCGCGUGAGUGAUGAAGGCCCUAGGGUUGUAAAGCUCUUUCACCGGAGAAGAUAAUGACGGUAUCCGGAGAAGAAGCCCCGGCUAACUUCGUGCCAGCAGCCGCGGUAAUACGAAGGGGGCUAGCGUUGUUCGGAAUUACUGGGCGUAAAGCGCACGUAGGCGGAUCGAUCAGUCAGGGGUGAAAUCCCAGGGCUCAACCCUGGAACUGCCUUUGAUACUGUCGAUCUGGAGUAUGGAAGAGGUGAGUGGAAUUCCGAGUGUAGAGGUGAAAUUCGUAGAUAUUCGGAGGAACACCAGUGGCGAAGGCGGCUCACUGGUCCAUUACUGACGCUGAGGUGCGAAAGCGUGGGGAGCAAACAGGAUUAGAAACCCGAGUAGUCC
rnacentral:rRNA from 1 species